UUAGAUACCCUAUUAUUAAAAAAUUAAUUUAUAAUACUAAAAUAGUAGAUAAUUUAUUUAUUGAAACUUAAAUAAUAUGGCGGUAUUUUAGUUCAUUUAGAGGAAUCUGUCUAAUAAUUGAUAAUCCACGAAUAAAUUUACUUAAUUUAUAAUUUUGUAUAUCAUUGUUAAAAAAAUAUUUUUUUAUAAAAAUAAUAUUUUAAUUUUUAAAAUAAAAAUUAUUUCAGAUCAAGAUGCAGAAUAUAAUUAAGAAUAUGAUGGAUUACAUUAAAAAUAUUUAAAUGAAUAAUUUUAUUGUAAAAUAAAUUUGAAGGUGGAUUUAAAUGUAAUUUUAAUUAAUUUAUUAAAAUGAUUAUAAAUUAAAAUAUGUACAUAUUGCCCGUCACUUUCAUUUUAAAGUUGAAAUAAGUCGUAACAAAGUAGAGGUACUGGAAAGUGUUUCUAGAAAGAU
rnacentral:rRNA from 1 species